UAGACAUUCCACUGAAUUGUUUCAAGACUUAAGAUGCUGUGCAAAACCUCAAUGCAUUUCAAAUGAAACCUUGACAGAAGUAUCGUUUCCUCUGAUCUACGGGUAAAGUUUUUAUCCAAAAAAAAGGGGAAGGAACUGAAUGUUUUCAUAGCACUGAAACGCCCUUAAUCCUGGGCGCUUCCAAGACGUGUCACACCACUGUUAUGCUGAUGAUACACAGAUCUACUUCUCUGCUUGACACGAUAACCUGAAUCAACUGUCCUCCCUCCAUGACAUGAAUAUUAUUUUUGACCAGGACAUGACUUUUGACCAUCAUGUUACAACACUUGUCCAGUCCUGCCAGACGUUUAACCAGAACCAGCCGUCAGCCCCACAUUACUCAUGUUCUCGCAUACCUUUGUUGGCUUCCUGUAAAAUUAGGAAUCAACUACAAGAUCCUGCUGAUUACAUACAAGGCACUUCAUGACCUUGCCCCCAGUUACAUUUCAGAUGUCCUUGUUCCUCAUUCCACUCCUCCACCACUCCGCUUCUCAAUUCUAGACCUUUUAUCCAACCACCGCUUCAACUGCAAAACUAAAGGCGACCGUGCCUUUGCUAUUUUAGCCCCAAACCUCUGGAAUCACUCAGAUUUUCGAAAUCUUUGGACCGUUUUAGACGGCUGCUCAAAACCCACCUCUGUAGGCAAUCCUUUUUAUAAAUCUCCUUUCCUGUGUUUGUUUACUUAUUUUUGUUGUGUCUUAUUCUUAUUCUUGCUGUAUUCAUCCACAUGUUAGUAUUUGAAUAUGAUUGUUUAUGUAUGUAUAUAUCUAUAUGUUGCACAUAUAUACAGUGAGUGUGUAUGUAUGUGUGUGUUUAUAUUUAUUUGUUUUUGAAGCACUUUGUAACUGUGUGUUUUAAAAAGUUCUUUAUAAAUAACGCUUAACUUACUUACUUACUUACCUUAGUGUUUUUGGACAUAAUGUUGAAACAUUAAAACUCCUUAAUUAUGUACAGUUCUUUUUUUUUUUGCUUUUCCUCUUUUUCUUACGAUCUGGAAACAAUUCUGUGUCACUGUAGACUCUGUAGACCGUCAGACAGAUUUUAUCAGAUGUCAGCAAAAGGGUAAUUCCCCUGUUCGCCAUGUCACUGUGUGUGCAUAAACAGGUAGUGGUGUUGAUUACAAGAGACUUUGGGUUCAAAUCCGGUGGCACUGAAAAAGAGACUAAAGACGAUUUAUAAUUGUGAUUUAGAUUUUUUGUUGAUGGUUUUCAUAGACCCCUUCAAAAUAAA